GCCGGUAUAGCUCAGCUGGUAGAGCAACUGACUUGUAAUCAGUAGUUCCCGGGUUCGACUCCUGGUGCCGGCACCA
rnacentral:tRNA from 1 species